GACGAACGCUGGCGGCGUGCUUAACACAUGCAAGUCGAACGGAAAGGCCCUGCUUGCAGGGUACUCGAGUGGCGAACGGGUGAGUAACACGUGGGUGAUCUGCACUGCACUUCGGGAUAAGCUUGGGUAACUGGGUCUAAUACCGGAUAGGAGCCUUCCUUAGUGUGGUGGUUGGAAAGUUUUUUCGGUGUAGGAUGAGCUCGCGGCCUAUCAGAGUGUUGGUGGGGUAAUGGCCUACCAAGGCGGCGACGGGUAGCCGGCCGGAGAGGGUGUACGGCCACAAUGGGACUGAGAAACGACCCAGACUCCUGCGGGAGGCAGCAGUGGGGAAUAUUGCACAAUGGGCGCAAGCCUGAUGCAGCGACGCCGCGUGGGGGGUGAAUGCCUUCGGGUUGUAAACUCCUUUCGCUAUGGACGAAGCUUGUUUGUGACGGUACCUAGAUAAGAAGCACCGGCUAACUACGUG
rnacentral:rRNA from 1 species